AACUUUUAAUAAUAGAUUUCUUAGUUCUAGUAUUAAUAAAGAACGUAGUAAAAUAUAAUAAGUAAUAUAAAUUAUAGAAUUUAGUAAAUUAUUGAAUCUUUAAACGUAUAUUAUGUUCGUUAAUAUUCUGGCGAAUAUAUUUAUUUGAGCGUUA
rfam:Neurospora crassa OR74A unplaced genomic scaffold supercont12.8, whole genome shotgun sequence.